GAUGAACGCUGGCGGCGUGCCUAAUACAUGCAAGUCGAGCGAACAGACGAGGAGCUUGCUCCUCUGACGUUAGCGGCGGACGGGUGAGUAACACGUGGAUAACCUACCUAUAAGACUGGGAUAACUUCGGGAAACCGGAGCUAAUACCGGAUAAUAUAUUGAACCGCAUGGUUCAAUAGUGAAAGACGGUUUUGCUGUCACUUAUAGAUGGAUCCGCGCCGCAUUAGCUAGUUGGUAAGGUAACGGCUUACCAAGGCAACGAUGCGUAGCCGACCUGAGAGGGUGAUCGGCCACACGGGAACGGAGACACGGUCCAGACUCCUACGGGAGGCAGCAGUAGGGAAUCUUCCGCAAUGGGCGAAAGCCUGACGGAGCAACGCCGCGUGAGUGAUGAAGGUCUUCGGAUCGUAAAACUCUGUUAUUAGGGAAGAACAAAUGGGUAAGUAACUAUGCACGUCUUGACGGUACCUAAUCAGAAAGCCACGGCUAACUACGUG
rnacentral:rRNA from 1 species